AGACCCAAGCCUGAACCCAAGGGUUGCACUGAACCACACACAUGUCUCACUGAGGUUGUUUCUAGCCAGGCCACAGAAGAACUAUAACUGACAGCCUCUGGCCAGCCUGAACCAUUGCACUAUUUCCUAGUAAGCAGCGGUGGCUUAGUUUCCCUGGACAGGCCUUCCAAUACAGGCCAACAUUGGAACAAAGCGACCCAGAGCCAGAGGGUGCUGGAGAGCUAGCUCUCCUACCUGCUCUCCAGCCCUGCUAAGGGUUCCCUGGCCUCCUUCCCAGGGGUGACUCUGCCAUCGUGGCUCUUAGAGGCAGGGAACCACAGCAUGGCCUCUUCCAAGACCUGCUCAGAGCCAGGAGGGAGGGAUAAGCCUGUGUGCAGACUUGGCUACCCAUACCCCCACUGCCGCUCGCUCACCCUUUUCCUGCCCACAGCUGGGUGUGGAGGCGGGCCCUGCUCAGGGGUAGAAGUGCUAGUAAACUCCACCCCUUCCUCCUUUUCAGGAAGUGCCAAGAGGGGUUACAAAGAAAGGCCCAGCUGCUCUCUGGAAGCCUGUCCGAUCCCUUCAUGGAUUGCCUUUCUUCCGACUGAGGGUGCCCGGGGGUCUCCUAGCACUCCCACUGGCCCAGAUAGAAGUCACGUGCUUCUCAGGGAAAGCGUGCUCAGGCUGGCCACCGCGAGGAUGGCCCUAUUCUCAUGUCCCAUGGGCCUAGGUUAGAAGCAGCGAUGAGAGAAAAGAACUUGGGCAUCCAGGGUCUAUCUGCUGAUUUUAUGUCACUCCUCACAGUGACAAUGACCAGUACUUACAGAUCUCAGGGGGGAGAUCUGAAGACAGGGCUAUCCGUCAACAGUCCGAGGACCUCUGCCAGCAACCAGCAUGCCUCACUCCUGCUGCCAAUGAAGACAUCCCUGCCAAUGAAAGACUGGUUCUGUGAAAUCCCAUUUCUCAGCCCUGAGCUGGCCUUUUAGAUGGGUCACUGAGAGAGAGAUACGAAUGACUGCAGUUCUCCAUCAUCUCCUCAUGAGGAGGGAGGCACGUCUGAAGGCAGAACAAGCCAAGAGGAGAGGCAGGACCUCUCUGUGCUGGCCAAAAGGCUCUGUGCCGGUCACCAUGAGGCCAGGUUGUGUCUUCCACCUUCUGUGUGUCUUGCCCUGCCUCCCAUGCCUCACACAGUUCAGCUGCUACUGUCUUACUCCCAGCCUCAGUGGGGAAGGUCAAAAUGACUCCAUGUCUUCUGUUUGGGUCAUGGUCUAGCCAGCAUUCCGCUGUAGGAUAAAGUGCAGGGCCUAUCUAGGGCAUAGAACCAACUCAGAUCCCAUGAAUGCCCCUGGCUCACUACUCAGGUCGUGAAUCUGGCCACACUAUUUCAA